rnacentral:rRNA from 1 species
AUUGAACGCUAGCGGCAGGCCUAACACAUGCAAGUCGAGCGGAUGACGAGAGCUUGCUCCUUGAUUCAGCGGCGGACGGGUGAGUAAUGCCUAGGAAUCUGCCUGGUAGUGGGGGACCACGUUUCGAAAGGAACGCUAAUACCGCAUACGUCCUACGGGAGAAAGCAGGGGACCUUCGGGCCUUGCGCUAUCAGAUGAGCCUAGGUCGGAUUAGCUAGUUGGUGGGGUAAUGGCUCACCAAGGCGACGAUCCGUAACUGGUCUGAGAGGAUGAUCAGUCACACUGGAACUGAGACACGGUCCAGACUCCUACGGGAGGCAGCAGUGGGGAAUAUUGGACAAUGGGCGAAAGCCUGAUCCAGCCAUGCCGCGUGUGUGAAGAAGGUCUUCGGAUUGUAAAGCGCUUUAAGUUGGGAGGAAGGGCAGUAAGCUAAUACCUUGCUGUUUUGACGUUACCGACAGAAUAAGCACCGGCUAACUCUGUGCCAGCCGCCGCGGUAA